rnacentral:rRNA from 1 species
CCUACGGGGGGCUGCAGUGAGGAAUAUUGGUCAAUGGGCGCUAGCCUGAACCAGCCAAGUCGCGUGAAGGAUGACUGCCCUAUGGGUUGUAAACUUCUUUUAUAUGGGAAUAAAGUGCAGUAUGUAUACUGCUUUGCAUGUACCUUAUGAAUAAGGAUCGGCUAACUCCGUGCCAGCAGCCGCUGUAAUACGGAGGAUCCGAGCGUUAUCCGGAUUUAUUGGGUUUAGAGGGAGCGUAGGCGGGUUGUUAAGUCAGUUGUGAAAGUCUGGGGCUCAACCGUAAAAUUGCAGUUGAUACUGGCAUCCUUGAGUACAGUAGAGGUAGGCGGAAUUCGAGGUGUAGCGGUGAAAUGCUUAGAGAUCACGAAGAACUCCGAUGGCGAAGGCAGCCUGCUGGACUGUAACUGACGCUGAUGUGCGAAAGUGUGGGUAGCAAACAGGAUUAGAUACCCUUGUAGUC